GGCAUGGUGGCUUAGUGGUUAGCACGUUUGCCUCGCACCUUCGAGGUUGGGGAUUCAAAUCCCACCUCUGCCC